rnacentral:rRNA from 1 species
GACGAACGCUGGCGGCGUGCUUAACACAUGCAAGUCGAACGGUGAACCUCUUCGGAGGGGCUCAGUGGCGAACGGGUGAGUAACACGUGGGCAACCUGCCCCCGGCUCUGGGAUAACUCCAAGAAAUUGGGGCUAAUACCGGAUGUUCACCGCUUCCCGCAUGGGUGGUGGUGGAAAGGGUUUCCGGCUGGGGAUGGGCCCGCGGCCUAUCAGCUUGUUGGUGGGGUAGUGGCCUACCAAGGCGACGACGGGUAGCCGGCCUGGGAGGGGGGACGGCCACACUGGGACUGAGGCACGGCCCAGACUCCUACGGGAGGCAGCAGUGGGGAGUAUUGCGCAAUGGGCGGGAGCGUGACGCAGCGACGCCGCGUGGGGGAUGACGGCCUUCGGGUUGUAAACCUCUUUCAGCGGAGACGAAGCGCAAGUGACGGUACCUGCAGAAGAAGCACCGGCCAACUACGUG